GCAUUGGUGGUUUAGUGGUAGAAUUCUUGCCUGCUACACGGGAGGCCCCAGGUUCGAGUUCCAGCCAAUGCA
rnacentral:tRNA from 1 species